CGAGCGAGGCCGGGUAGCAAUACCCGAGUCGAGCGGCGAACGGGUGAGUAACGCGUGGAUGACCUGCCCUUUAGUGUGGAAUAACCCGGGGAAACCCGGGCUAAUACCGCAUAAGACCGAGAGGUGAAAGGGGCCCGCAAGGGUCUCGCUGAAGGAGGGGUCCGCGUCCGAUUAGCUAGUUGGUAGGGUAAUGGCCUACCAAGGCCACGAUCGGUAGCCGGCCUGAGAGGGUGAUCGGCCACACUGGAACUGAGACACGGUCCAGACUCCUACGGGAGGCAGCAGUGGGGAAUUUUGCGCAAUGGGCAAACGCCUGACGCAGCAACGCCGCGUGGAGGAUGAAGGUCCUUGGAUUGUAAACUCCUGUCAGCGGGGAAAAAGCGAGGUGACCUCAUACGUCAUCGAGUUGAUUGUACCCGCAGAGGAAGCCCCGGCUAACUCUGUGCCAGCAGCCGCGGUAAUACAGAGGGGGCAAGCGUUAUUCGGAAUUAUUGGGCGUAAAGGGCGCGUAGGCGGCUUUGCAAGUGACGGGUGAAAUCCCUCGGCUUAACCGAGGAACUGCCUGUCAAACUGCAUGGCUUGAGACCAGGAGAGGUGAGUGGAAUUCCCAGUGUAGCGGUGAAAUGCGUAGAUUUUGGGAGGAACACCAGUGGCGAAGGCGGCUCACUGGACUGGUACUGACGCUGAGGCGCGAAAGCGUGGGGAGCAAACAGGAUUAGAUACCCUGGUAGUCCACGCCGUAAACGAUGAGUGCUUGGUGUAGCGGGUAUCGACCCCUGCUGUGCCGAAGUCAACACAUUAAGCAC
rnacentral:rRNA from 1 species